GUAUUAGGAUGAGGAUAUUUUCUCAGUAAUUCCUUGAACUUUUCACACGCCUCACUCAAUAUCUCAUCAUUAUAUUGUUGGAAGGCUACUAUUUCAUAUAUGAAUUU